CCUACGGGAGGCAGCAGUGGGGAAUAUUGCACAAUGGGGGGAACUCUGAUGCAGCAAUGCCGCGUGGGUGAAGAAGCACUCCGGUGCGUAAAGCCCUGUCAGCAGGGAAGAAAAUGACAGUACCUGGACAAGAAGCCCCGGCCAACUACGUGCCAGCAGCCGCGGUAAUACGGAGGGGGCCAGCGUUAUCCGGAUUUAUUGGGGUUAAAGGGUGCGUAGGCGGUCGGAUAAGUUAGAGGUCAAAUGUCGGGGCUUAACCUCGUGCCUGCCUCUGAUACUGUUCGACUAGAGAACGGAUGCAGCAGGCGGAAUGAGUGGUGUAGCGGUGAAAUGCUUAGAUAUUACUCAGAACACCGAUUGCGCAGGCAGCUUGCUAAUCCGCAUCUGACGCUGAUGCACGAAAGCGUGGGUAGCGAACAGGAUUAGAUACCCGAGUAGUC
rnacentral:rRNA from 1 species